rnacentral:rRNA from 1 species
AGCAGCCGCGGUAAUUCCAGCUCCAAUAGCGUAUAUUAAAGUUGUUGCAGUUAAAAGCUCGUAGUUGAAUUUCGGGAUUGGCGCAUCGGUCGUGCCUCACGGGGUAUGAACUGGUGCAGUCAAUUUCUCACCUUCUGGAGAACCGCGAUGUCCUUAAUUGGAUGCCGCGGGGAACCAGGACCUUUACUUUAGAAAAAUUAGAGUGUUUAAAGCAGGCAUUUUUGCUUGAAUACAUUAGCAUGGAAUAAUAAAAUAGGACGGCAUGGUUCUAUUUUGUUGGUUUCUAGGACCACCGUAAUGAUUAAUAGGGAUAGUUGGGGGCAUUAGUAUUCAAUUGUCAGAGGUGAAAUUCUUGGAUUUAUUGAAGACUAACUACUGCGAAAGCAUUUGCCAAGGAUGUUUUCAUUAAUCAAGAACGAAAGUUAGGGGAUCGAAGACGAUCAGAUACCGUCGUAGUCUUAACCAUAAACUAUGCCGACUAGGAAUCAGACGAUGUUAAUUUUUAAUGACUCGUUUGGCA